CUGAUAGAGUUCAAUCCCAACACCUGUCGGGACCCUAAAGAUGGUGAACUGCGCCUGAGCGGGGCGAAGCCAGAGGAAACUCUGGUGGAGGCCCGCAGCAUUACUGACGUGCAAAUCGUUCGUCUAACUUGGGUAUAGGGACGAAAGACUAAUCGAACUGUCUAGUAGUUGGUUCCCUCCGAAGUUUCCCUCAGGAUAGCUGGAGCCCAUGUGCGAGUUCUAUCGGGUAAAGCGAAUGAUUAGAGGCAUCGGGGGCGCAACGCCCUCAACCCAUUCUAAAACUUUAAAUAGGUAGGACGGCGCAGCUGCUUUGUUAGCCGCGCCACGGAAUCGAGAGCUCCAAGUGGGCCAUUUUUGGUAAGAGGAACUGGCGAUGCAGAAUGAACCGGAAGCCGGGUUACGGUGCCAAAUUGCGUGCUACCCGCGACCUCUACCCGGGUCAGAGUUAACAACGUGCGCCAUCAUGGCAUCUGAUGCGUGGUCGAAUA
rnacentral:lncRNA from 1 species